rnacentral:rRNA from 1 species
AUGCUGAUGACAAAGAAAUGCAGUGCUAAAGAAACAUUUGUGAUAAAUGCUAGUGCUAUAUUUUUACUGUCAAGUCUGAAAUUUUGGUCUUUACUGUCAAGUCUGAAGUUAGUGGUAACUACUGAAGUUGGUGUUCAUGUCAAGUUAGUGGUAACUACUGAAGUUGGUGUUCAUGUCAAGUUAGUGGUAACUACUGAAGUUUGUAGUUACAGUUGCUUGUCUUCCACACAAGAAGCUGGUGUUUCUGUCAGAUCUUUGAAGGUCUGGUUUUCUAGUUACAGUAAGUUAGUGUUCAUGUCCGUCAUUGGUUACACUAAGUUAGUGGUUAACUAG